rnacentral:rRNA from 1 species
CACCAGCACCCCGAGUGGUCGGGACGUUUAUUGGGCCUAAAGCAUCCGUAGCCGGUUCUACGAGUCUUCCGUUAAAUCCAACUGCUUAACAGGUGGGCUGCGGAAGAUACUAUAGAGCUAGGAGGCGGGAGAGGCAAGCGGUACUCGAUGGGUAGGGGUAAAAUCCGUUGAUCCAUUGAAGACCACCAGUGGCGAAGGCGGCUUGCCAGAACGCGCUCGACGGUGAGGGAUGAAAGCUGGGGGAGCAAACCGG